ensembl:lncRNA
CUCUCCUCGGCCCUCCCCCUCGGGCUGGCCGUCGGCCUGGGACAGGGACUCAGCCCCGGGCUCACGGCCACGGGCUCUCCAAGUCCAACGUGGAGACUCCGCACGGAAAAGAAGUCGGACAUCUCUCCACGCUGCUUCGAGUGGAAUCUGGAAUCAGCAGGAAAUUGCUGGAGAACCCAGCCCGAGCCUUGGCAGUCAACCCUCGCUCUGGUGAAGAGAAGCAGCUCCCACCAAAGUCUUGCCUCCCUCUCCCCCCGAAAGCCCCGCGCAGAUUGAAGUUCAGCUGUCCCUCAGAAAAAAAGUAUCUCCAUAACUACUAAAAACGUCAGGAUUAAUAUUUCUUUAACUCUCUUCAAGUAGAUAUCACUGAAGUAAUUUUUUUUUAAUUUAACCAAGAUUAGUACAACCCUAUUCAAGAGGUUUGGUUUAUUCCAAAACUAUAAAUGUAAUCUAGAUAAAAUUGUAAUACCAAAGGUUUUUGUAAAGAAACUUGGGAAUGAAUACAUUUUAUAUGACUAUUAAAACAUGUUUUAAACCCUAACUAUUCCCCCUUCCGAAGAAAAGUCAGAGUUUUCCAUUCUAUAGAAAUAUUAUAAUCAGGUAUAAGAAAAUUAUUACUAUAAUAACAGUUCUGUCAAGAUGAUGGAUACUUUUGAAUGUAUUAUGAAGGAAAAAAUAUUUUUGGUCCUUCAUGUAUUUGAGGUACUUGAAAAGGCAAGAAGUUUGUAGAAACAUUUUACAACCAAAAUAUACAAGACCAUUAAAACGUGCAAGUAAUUAGAUUCUAAGCGACUAAGAAGUAUUUUUUUCCAACAGCUUUGUAUUCUUUUACAUUUUUAUGUAUUCUUGAAUGAUUGCCUUUCAACCGUUCCAAGUAUUUUGUUAUAUUAUUUAUAUAAUAAAAAUAUAGUUGGCAUAU